CCCUGGUGGGGGGCUGGGCAGGGUCUCACAGCCUGCGCAGAUUGCCUCACUCCUCCCGUGAAGUGCAUGUUGCCCGGCUUUGCUGAGCCAGAGCGGUCCCCCUGGAGCCCACUGCCACGUCCCAGGACCGCCUGCCCUCGCACCGUCCACUCUGGCACCGUCUCACCCCGCGCCGGCUCAUUGGUGGCCUCAUUUGCCUGUUCUUGAAGACCAGGGGGGACUUGAAAUUGAAGUGAACACUAUCGAAAAUGAAUACCAAGGAGAUGGAUGUCUUUAUAAGACUAUCCCAGAAGACAGCGCCUUUGCAGGGUAAAUACUUGUCAAUGUGGGGCCUUUGGGGAGCUGAAGUCCCCCAGAGCGGGUGGCCAUGGCCCUCUAGUGGCCACAGGGGGUGACAGCACCGUGGCAGCCUCUCAAGAUGGCCGCCCAGCUUGGAGCCGGCAUGGAGGGCCCACGACAAGCAGCACCAGAGCCACCAAGGCUAACAUUCUUUCCUAAGAAUCCUUAAUAAGGUUCCUCUGUUGACCAAAUAAGCAAACGCCGGAAGCUCCAGGAGCUGGGAAAUGAAACAAGAGCUUCCUCUUGAGGCGAGAUGACGUGAAGUCUUGGGGCCUCUCCGGGGUCCUUCUCUUUCAGAACAGCUGGGACACACGCCAGCAUCUGGGAAGGGCUUGUCCGAAGAACGCGCCGCUUGGGCAGCGUUUAUCGUGGUGACGGACCCGAGGGACGAGCUUGGGAACACGUGCGGCCGAGUCCAAGGUGCCGCGGCUUCCCUUCGCGGGGCUGGGCUCACUUCCCCAGGAGCAGGACUUUGAACGUCCCUGGAUGACUACUGAAAAUUUGUUUGGGAAAGAUCUAACUCCCAUGGAAGUUGUGAGGGUGGCGGUCCAGAGGGGCCUUCUACCCCACCCCCCGAGUGAGCUGCUGACAUGGCGUCUCAAGACUUCAAAUCCUUUAUUGCGUUUUCCCACAACAGGGACAGUCUCCCAGUUUUAGGGGCUACAUUGUGCCCCCCCAAAACUGAUGUGUUGAAGUCCUAGCCCUCAGGAGCUCGCAUGUGACCGCACCUGGAGAUGGGGCCCUGGAAGAAGCAGUGAAGGGAGAAUGGGGUCACAGGGUGCGCUCUAGUCCAGGAUGGCUGGAGGGGGGCAGGGCGCAGCCACCCAGAGGGGAGAGUCCCAGGGAGAGGCCUGCCCCCCGCAGCCUGGCCCAGACGGCGAAGGAGCCAGCCCUGCAGACACCUUGACCUCGGCUUCUGGCCUCUGGGACUCUGAGGAGACGAGUCUCUGCUCUUUAGCCCCUUAGUCUGUGUCCACCACCAGAGAGAGAGGUGGUGUUCAAUUCCCAAGGUGGACAAAGGCCCGGAUCAGGCUUUUUGAACUCAAGCCAUCAAGAAAUUCAGGGCGCCUCAACCUCGAGGGUGGACGACAUGGCUGGGAUCGUGCUCAGCCACCCCUCCCCUUCCUGGAUGGCAACCUCUUCUCCAACGCACCUCUUCUUUCGCCUGCUCCCAAAUUUCAUCUUCACUGACCCAACAAAUAUGAGACGCAUUUGAAAUUAACAUACAAGUCCUUUCCUUAGCCUGUUAACCACUCCAGGGAGUGGGGAUCACAUGGUCUGGUCAGAGGACACAGACACCCCGCCGCCGGCCGCUUGUGGGUUCCACCCGGACCAUUUCAUUCCCCAGCUGUGGCUGCUGCCCUGGCAGGUCCUCACAGCUGCUCCCUGUCCAGUCUCCUACACCCCUCCCCUGCUGCAUGCUCCGUGUGGAACCUCCCCCCACUCACACCACCCCCUUUCCGGGCCUGGAGCCACUCCCCUUGGAGCUGAGACGAUUCCCCACGCCUCCCUGUUAUUCCCGACAGCCCUGGGAUGCUUAGUCAUUUUUACCCCCUAAAUAUUUCUCAGUGCAUCGAUGCCUCUGGACCUUUGCACAUGCUCCUCCCCUGGCUGAGAACACCCGCUCACCAGGUCACGCCUCCUGGAGUUGAACCUUCCUAUGGGUAGCCUUGAGGACAGAGCCCUGGGCUGAGAUUUCUUGUUACGGAAACCAGCGUGGCCUGACGUCCUGCAUAGCCCCAGUGACUAUCUGCUGGCUGACGAAAUCCCACAGAUGGAGCACAUCAGCGCCACGCUGAGUACGCUAAGUAGCAGUCUAUUAACUAUAAAUAACUAAGUGGAACUCCAAAAGCUGGGUGCGGGGAACUGUUUGGACGAAGUGGGAUCAUCAAAUGCUCACUAGCGCCAAUCAAGAGCAGCGCCCGGAGCGGGCGGGGGCUGGGAGCGGGCACCCCACGCUUCCUGCAUCCUGCACGGUCACUGGCUGGGGCUGAACAACACAGGUUUUGGGAGAAAACAUUUCUGAGUUUGUGUGGAUGAGACGGGCACGCGGCUGUGGUCAGAUGUGUCCCCAGGAUCUUGGACAGAGGAGGAAACGCGCCGUGAGCCCGAGGACAGAGGUGCUGGAGUCGGAAUCAGAGACGCCCACGCUCACUAGGGCAGCACUUCCAAAAAAAGGGCAAAUUGAACACGUAGGACCUGGUGAUGAGAAGGAAAACAGGCUUCUAAAGACCUGCCCACGGCACCAUCCGUGGCUACACAGAAGACCCUUACGAGCACAGAUUUCUCCUCUCAAAAAACAGUUUUACUUCUGAUUGUAAGAGUAACCUCAAAAGCGCUUAUCUUGCGGGCCCGGGGACGUGGAAGGAGACGCUGGUCCUGAGCCUUGCAGCAGCCGGGGGGCGGCGCAGGGCCAGUGCCUGUGCAGCGGGCUUGAGUGGGUCCCAAGAAGCGCGCGCGCGCGGCCCUCCCCAGCCAGACGUCUCGGGCGUGGCCACAUGGACACCGGCCACGCCACAGGAAGGGCAGGAAGACACGGCGGGGGGCAGCCCAGUAAGUCACCCAGCCUCUGCGCUGCCCAGCCCGAGGGAGACCGGGCUGUGAAAAGACGUAACACAAGCAGCUCAGCUAACCACGGGCGGCUCAGACUGCUCUUCCUUGGUUUCAAUUUUGUUUCAUAGACUUUAAUCAGUUACACAUUAUUCUAAAAGCAUAAAAUACUGAACUCUAUCCUCUGAAUUUACACGGUGUCAAUUUUUAGUAACGCGGCUUCUCACCAGGGAAGAUGUCAGCAGAACACGGUCUGUGACCGAUGAUGACUUCACGACGCGGGCUCUGCUUAUAAUAAAAUGCGCUCUAGUUCACGACUGUUCACACCACAGCAGAAAUCUCUACCCGCCUCCGUCUAAACACACCACGACCCGGGCCCAGUCUCUGUGACUGGCAGUGACGUCAGAGCCGGCCAGUCCCCGGCGUCCAUGCUCUUCGAGCUGGUGCGUCACCGCUCAGGACCGGUUAUCUUCGAUGACAAUCGUUCUUCCAGGGUAGGCGUCAACUUCUACAAAUAUGUAGCGAAACUCAUAUUCACCACUCUCUGGGUUCUGGGGAAAAACCGCGUUUCAAGGAGUGAGCCCCGUGCAGAGCUGAGGGGCCCGGCCGCGCCCUGCGCCUGCCCGCGCCCACCCGCGCCCACACCUCCUUCACUUCCAGGUGCACCGUCCCCUGCCGCCCCGGCUCGGAGCCCUGGAUGUAGAACUUGAUGCGCAUGUGCUUCAGCCCAUCCUUCGAAUAUUCCACGAAGCUGUGGGGAAGAUGGAGGCCGUGGGACUGAGCUCCUCUCCCCUCCGCUGCCCCCACGCUGCCCCCGUGCGGUACCUGACGUGCUGCCUGCGCCCACGCCGCGUCGUCUCCCCGAAGCCUUUAACCGGCUCCCCGAAGACACUGAUGACCUGGGGGGAGUGGUGGAUGAGGUUGUCAGCCAGUUGUUUACUGCUAAGGAGAGCGUUUCUGACAGACCCCAUGAUUUUUUUUAGAAACCCCCCAAAUUUGUAAAUGGGACCCUUUCAAAAUGACAAUGAGAAAUCUGGAAAGAAAAGUUAUUAUGCAGCGAUCACCCCACAAAUCACACUCCAUGCAGAGACUGAAGCAGGUGAGCCUGAGGCUCCCGCACCAGAGCGUGAGGGCAGCUCAGGCUGAGGCGAUGCCGUUCCCACUGCCCUUGCAGACAACACAUGCCACGCAACACGUGUGCAGGGCCUCUGGGACAUCAAUGCACCAGGGUAUAGUGGGAGAUCUACAAGACCAAUGUGACUGUCCAGGUCACCCCACACUGUGAAAGGAAAACAAGAGUGACCUAUGAAGACGUCAGGCCAGGGGGUGGCGCGCCUGGCUCCAGGUGGAAAAUGCACCAGGAAGUGAAAACGUUUUUAUGGAAUUUAAAUCGCAAAUAACUUGAAAAGGUUAAAAAAAAAAAAACAAAACACACACAGAUUUGUUAUCAGAUGAAAAUACUGCCUAGAUUCUCAAAAAUUUACUGUCUCUGAUGAACAUCGGCGUCAUAUUUUUCAGGUAUGCAUGCUAAGGAGUCCAUCAUGGAAGAUGAGAAUUACUCAGGGCUGUACAGCCGACGCAGAACAGUCGUUCAAAUAAUGGCCUGGAAUCAACACUCGGGCAUCAACCCCAGAGCCCCCCGUUUCUCAAGCAGACCCACCACAAAUGCUGACGAGAUGCUGUCAGUCAACGGUUCACAGGCCACAAAUGCCUAGCCUCUCACUAACAUGCCACCUUUACUUAUUCUGUGUAAUUUUGUCCCAAACGCUGAGAUGCAUGCACGGCUGCUUGUGAGUCACACAGCAGCGCUGCCCCGCGGGCCUGUGAUGACGCUGUGCGCGUCCCGUCGCCUGCACGGUGCUUCUUGCCAGUCUAAUCUGGGCCCCGACUAUGAAAGCCCCUCUCUCCCCCCACCUUUUAUUUUCAGCGCACCCAGGAAGUGCGCCCUUGCUACCUCCUCCACGUCUUCAGACUAGCCAGCAUGGAGUUAAGAGAAUCCAUAGCUUUGAAGAGGAGGUGCCGAGAGUACCAGCCUCAAGUUCCUCCCUGACGGGACUACAGAAGCGACGGCAUCUGAGGGCGGUGCCCCGGGAGUCUCGAGUUCUGAUGCUACCUGCUGUUUUCUUUCAAGGUACCAGAACUGAGACUUCAAUGACUGAUAUUUUUCAAAGUGGAGGCUUUCUAUCCAGAGAGCAGGAAAUCGGGGGAUUCACAGGCUGCGCCGGCUUCUCUGACUGGAAAACAUUACACAAAAGCCGUCCUCCCGGACCAGAGCCUCUGGAGAGCCGAGGUCUGUCUCCCCAUCGACCCCAGCCCGGGGCCCGGCUUCCAGAUGACCAUGUUUGGGCUCCGGCUCUCCUGCUGUCACCUCAGCUGAGCGAGCUCAUCUCGAGUCAGCCUCCUCUCUGCAAUGCGCAUCCGCAGCCGCCACAACCAGGCUGUGUGCGAGGCCGGCGGCCGAUCCCAGCGCGCCAUCCGUGACAACUAGCAUCGACUUUCUCUUGUCCAGGUAGGGAGGAGACCCCCUACAGGCCUCUGCCUACUUAAAGCAUUUCAAACACAGAGCUGACGUGACCAACUGACCCUAUCACAUACGUGUCCACGUCGGCCCUGCGGGCAGGGAACCACCCCACCCCAGCCCAGCCCGUCUGUGAGACUCUCCCUGAGGACUAACCUCGGGGUGGGACCGGCAUAUGUCCAAGGCUUUCCCAUAUAUCUUGUUAGGGCUGGAUGAAGAAAAAAGUUCUUUGAAAAUAGUGUAAAACAAGCCACCUGAAAAUCACAAAAAAAAAAAAGUGAAGCCAGGAGAGACGGAGACCAGCGGCACUCGGGAGAGCUGUGCGGGGCGUUAUACUUGCUGCGUUUUCAACCUGUAAUGCUGACUCCAAUAAGCACCACUACCAGGUAGGUGAGGUCGCGCCCGGCUUCCUUCACUGUGGAGAGAAAACACCAAGUCACCGUGAGCGGCACGGGCAGGCGGCAGCUGCCUGGGGAGGCAGGCGCGGGCCCUCGGGGGCUGUGGCGUGGAGCAGCUUGCUCAGAUCCCCCCGUGAGCCAGAGGAACUUCACCAGAAUUCAGGGCCUAGACCCAGGUUUCUAUUUUCGUCAUUUCAACACCUCCUUACUUUCUAAGAUGAGGACAUUCUUUUCAGUCCCCAGCUCCUCAGAGCGGAUGAAAACCACCGUCACAGACCAGGCGAUGCCGGGCAGUUCACUGUUCACAGAUCAGAGCGUGUUUUGUCACGGGCAGUCGAGGGGGUCAAAAAUGGCCUCAACUCGGCUUUCUACUCCUAGGGUCACUUUCGCUAGCGUCCUGCCACCCCCACGGGCCGGGCACAGAGGAAAGCAGGGCUGACGCAGACCAGCGUUUGUUCAGACUUGUGAGCUGAACAGAUUUAGAAAAUAAAGAGCCUGCAGGGGUGCUUGUCUCUUUCGACACGAAUGAAAGAGGAGCCUGUGGAUUACACCCAAGUCCCGGGCGCAACAGCCAUUCAGCUGCGGCAUCGCCACGGGACAGAGUCUGCGUGCACAGCGACGUGGGCACUUGCCCGGCCACUGGCACUGCCAGCCGCUCGCCGCCGUGGCACGUUCUCCCUGAUGCUGGAGAGUGACUCACCUCCUGGCGUCUUUAUAGCUCAGUGUAGUCACCGUAUUUGAAUGAUUUCCAGAAUAGGCAUUUCUUACACUUUUUUUUUCAGAAAAACAACAAAAUGUUAACGGAGGUUGUUACUAUUUCCUCCACUCUUUUUUUUUUUUUUUUUACAACAAACUUCUAUCACUUUUAUAAAUUAACACUUAUUUAAAAGUGCUCUUCAGCACAGCAUAAUUCCUCAAGCUUUCCACACUGGUUUCUGCAUAAAGAGAUGAUUCAAAUAAACACUUUCUCUGCCCUAACCGUGUCACUCAUGGGCUUGAUCCAACAAGCUCUGCCACAGGUCCCUCCUCUUAGCGAGGCUGGGUAGAACCCCACAGUCAGCCUUCGCUCCUGUUCCCUGCGGUCAUGGGACAAACUUAACAUGCCACUGAGCGCCAGGUCCUAAGCUGAGGACACACCACUGGCCACCCACUGGCCACCCAACAUGCUGCCAUGUCAUACUGCCACUCAUGUCAAGGCUUUGGCCCCACUGCUGGCUCCAGGAGCGCCUGGGCACGCCCAUAUUCCUGCGCCACACAGGCCAGGAGGCCGCCUUCUCUGUUCACUCGCACCUACUGUGUAAUUACUGUGUGCGAAGGCCUGGCCCCAUCCACAGCCCACACACCUUUGUGUUUCUUUCUAAAGAUUUAUAGAUUUAUUUAAUUAUUUAUUUAUACAAGCACUGGGCACAGUCAGAAGCACAGGAGAGUGAGAGAAUUCACCAGAGCCAGAGCAGGGAGCAGAAUAGGCAGAAGGACAGAAGUACACUGCUGAGAGGAGCAGCGGGCGGCAGAAGUCUGCGCGCCACACGGGACCCUCGCCCAGCGGCCUGGGAUCGAACCUGCGCUGCAGAGGCUGCAGGCAGCCUCGUAGCCCAGCGCUCAACCGCUGCGCCACCGCUGCACCACCGGGGAGGCCCUUUAGUGUUUCUUUUUAAUGGUACUCUACGUGGUCUUCACCAGAGGCUGCCUGUUGUCCUUUUUUGUUGUUGCUAUUAAAACUGUUAAGUAUGUGCACUAAAAUGACAUGAAUCAAAAUACUAACAAAUCAUGUUUGCACGGUAUUAAUAGGGUGUCGGAAAUGCUCUGCUUUAUCUUUUUUUAUAACUCACUUGGGAAAUAAACAAUAAAAAAUGAAA